AGAAAGUAUUUUAAAAAAACCGAAGAAUCGGUGUAAACGAUGUGGUGUGGUCGCGUCGUUUGAUGCGAUCGUCACGCCCCCCACUCUGACUCUCUUCCACAUCUCUCUCGGUCGGUGGCCCUGCUGCUCUGCUCUCUCCUUUGACUUUGGUUGUUGUCAACCUUGGGACCCGCUGACCGCCAUCAGUCUCCAAUUGGCCGACGGUUAGACCGGUUUUGUCCGAGCCUUUUCUGAUUAUUCAAAAGCGUCAAGUGCCGUGUUAACUCUGAUUUGGUUACGAUUGUUGUGCCAGUGCCGCAGCCGGAAUCAGCCGCCUCUAUCGCUCAGGUCAGCCUCGUUGAAAGGUCGACGAGGUGAACAACGAUCGCGAUCCUCAUCACCGGAGACGGGCGUCGGCUCCGGCACCAAAGGAUCCAGCGCGACCAAAGGUCGUCCAUUCGCCAAACCGAUUUCGCGAGCACUCAACAUGAGCGUGACGCAAAAAGUUGUCGGCUGCCUCAGGAGCAACGUCCUGACAAUCCUCAACAUCGCCGGCGUCUUCUCAGGCGUCGUCCUCGCCCUGGCACUCAGGUCGUCGCGCGAAGAGAAAUGGACACAACGAGAAAUUGUUUAUGUUGGUUUUGUAGGUGAUUUGUUUUUACGAAUGCUUAAGUGUCUCAUUCUGCCACUGAUCGUCUCAUCAAUGAUUUCGGCCGUCGGCUCUCUGGACCUUUCCGUGUCGGGACGGAUCGGUACGCGAGCCAUCGUCUACUAUAUGACCACCACCGUCAGCGCUGUCAUUCUGGGUAUCAUCCUCGUCCUGACUAUCCAUCCGGGCGAAGGAUCCGAUAAGGGAAUCGUUCGCGGCGGUUCCGUCCGUCACGUCACCACGGCCGACAUGCUCAUGGAUCUCAUCAGAAACCUGUUCCCACCGAAUUUGGUCCAGGCUUGCACCGCUCAGUAUAAGACGGUGUUGACACCGCCUGCUGACUAUUUGGAGUCUCUAGCCAAUAUGACCAACUCCAACGGAACCGACGCCGGUAACAUGACCGCCGGAAAGCCAAAGAACCUCUACGACUGGAAGAUGUCAUCCGACUACGAGGACGCCACCAAUAUCCUCGGACUCGUCGUCUUUUCCACCGUGUUGGGCAUCACGCUCGGCCGGAUGGGAGCCAAGGGCAAGCCGCUCCUCAACUUCUUCGUCUCCAUGAGCGAAGCCGUCAUGAUGAUCACCGGCUGGGUCGUUUGGUUGUCACCAGUAGGUGUCAUGUUUUUGGUGGCCUCCAAGAUGUUGGAAAUGGAGAGCUGGGAAGUCAUGUUGGGACAACUUGGCAUGUACUUUUUCACGGUGAUGAUUGGCCUCUUCAUCCACGGUUUCGUCGUUCUCCAGCUAAUCUACUUCAUUGUGACGCGGAAAUUGCCGUUCCGCUACGUCGGAAACCUCUCUGAAGCUCUGGCCACUGCUUUCGCCACUUCAUCGAGCUCGGCAACUCUACCCGUGGCGCUGAAAUGCUUGGAGGAGAAAAACCAAGUGGAUCCACGUGUGACUCGCUUCGUCAUGCCAAUUGGCGCCACCAUUAACAUGGACGGAACGGCCUUGUACGAAGCCGUCGCCGCCAUCUUCAUCUCGCAAGUGCGUGGUAUUCAUCUGACCAUGGGCAACGUCGUGGCUGUCAGCAUCACCGCCACAGCUGCUAGCAUCGGCGCCGCUGGUAUUCCUCAGGCCGGAAUCGUCACCAUGGUGAUGGUUCUCGAUACUCUUGGCCUGCCAGCCGAAGACGUCUCCCUCAUCAUGGCUGUCGAUUGGUUUUUGGAUCGCUUCCGGACGUUUACCAAUGUGCUAGGAGAUUCUUUGGGAGCCGGUAUUGUGCACCAUUUGAGCCGUCAUGAGCUGGAAGAGAUGCCGAUCGAACCUGCCAGUGGUCGAAGAGAGUCUGAUAUUGAACUGGACGGCCCGCUUGCUGGUGCCGAUCUAGAGAAGGGCGAGUCGAGCAACGGUGGCCCAAGUUCCAGGAAUCCCAAUGUUACCUCCGCCGCCGUGGAAGUCGAAUGGCAGUCGACGUCCAUGUGAGUCUCGGCCCUGCCCUCGGAGACUUUGAUCUAAACACCGCGCGCGCUGGCGACACGGCCGUUCUAGAGAUGAUGACGAGCUAUAUCAAUCGUCAUUGGCGAUUUUGUAGCUAAAUUUUGUGGCACCCGACGAGAAAAAACGACACUUGUUUUCGCAUUUUUCAUGUUUGGACAUUCACAUUUUUUUUUUAUUAUUAUUUCAUUUUUAAAUUUUAUUCUUUUUUUUGUUUGUUUUUUUCAACGACGUUAUUCUAGAAAUUGAUUUAUAAUGAAACACACUGGUGAAUUUCAUUCUCUGUAUCCUUUUCCUAAAUGAUGCUUUUGGGUUUGGAACUUUUUGAUACGUAGAGUUUAAGAUCAACGUUGUACUGGUAUCUAUUGAAACAAAACUAAACUAAAAAAAAAAAGAAAAAAAGAGACAAAAACAUUUUGUGCAACGGUACGCAUUUGAAAAAAAAGUCCCUUCUUUUUUAAAUGUACAUCCAAAACAUAUAAUGACCCUUUUGCCCAUGUGUUGCCUGCGUUUCUAAACGACUCUGUGAAGAGCGAAAUUCCUUCUUCCUGCAUUAUUAUAACCUUAAAUUUUUUCGUUCCGUUAUAUUUUAUUCAAUCAUUACAUUGAAUAACACAUCGUAGACAGGUGUUUAAUAUUAAUUACAAAUUUUAAGAGAUUAAAGUAGCUACAAUUUUCUAAGAAAUGUUGAUCAAAGAAGAGAGUAAAACGAAAAUAUCUCCAACGGCUAAGAGAUGAGAAAACUUUUUUUUUUAUUUUGAAUUAUUACAGUUAUUAUGUAUCCGGGAAUUUAUUCAGACUGUCUAUGUCUACUGUUUUUAUACAUACCGUGUAUACACACAUCCUAACGCGGGAAUAAGUUAGUUUGGCAACAUCUUUCCAGGCGGACGCGACGCGUUGGCGUUGCAGACGAGUUUACAAUUGGAACUGCACGUGAAAGUUUAAGCAUUCGAAAAUGAACUCUCUGCUAGUUUUGUCAGAAUUCAUCAGCUCUGUCGAGAAUGCCGUGCGCAAGUUUCGACGAGUAUCUAAUCUUCAAUGGCCACGUGGUGAAAUUUAAAAUCAAGGUGGUGUGAAAUUUAUUUCUGAGAAAUGAAAUGAGGGUAAAUCCUACAAACGCCAGAUUGACAUGCCUGCCUUUGAAGCAAGGGUGCUGUUCUAAUAGUGCUUUGAUUGCUGAAUUUUUUUUUGGAUGGUUGAAUUCUGCAACAUACUAGCGGCUGAUCCAUGAUUGACAGCCUUUCUUGAUGCUUCCAACCUGAAUUCAAUGUGAUGGUUGCUGGCUGCUCAAUGGAUUGGACACUGUAAACUGGAUCAAGUCAUGUUGUCAAAUUAUUGCAUCAUUUCAAGUGUAUUAAGUUUCUGUGUUGUCUGUUGAAUGUAGACCGGUUAAAUCUCCGGUGGCGAGCUGGAGGAAUACACUGCAGUCUUGAACUA
rnacentral:misc_RNA from 1 species